rnacentral:tRNA from 1 species
GGGAAUAGUUCAGCUGGUAGAACGUUGGUCUCCAAAACCAAAUGUCGUGGGUUCAAAUCCUGCUUCCC